AUUGAACGCUGGCGGCAUGCCUUACACAUGCAAGUCGAACGGCAGCACGGGUGCUUGCACCUGGUGGCGAGUGGCGAACGGGUGAGUAAUACAUCGGAACAUGUCCUGUAGUGGGGGAUAGCCCGGCGAAAGCCGGAUUAAUACCGCAUACGAUCCACGGAUGAAAGCGGGGGACCUUCGGGCCUCGCGCUAUAGGGUUGGCCGAUGGCUGAUUAGCUAGUUGGUGGGGUAAAGGCCUACCAAGGCGACGAUCAGUAGCUGGUCUGAGAGGACGACCAGCCACACUGGGACUGAGACACGGCCCAGACUCCUACGGGAGGCAGCAGUGUGGAAUUUUGGACAAUGGGCGAAGGCCUGAUCCAGCAAUGCCGCGUGUGUGAAGAAGGCCUUCGGGUUGUAAAGCACUUUUGUCCGGAAAGAAAUCCUUGACUCUAAUACAGUCGGGGGAUGACGGUACCGGAAGAAUAAGCACCGGCUAACUACGUG
rnacentral:rRNA from 1 species